rnacentral:rRNA from 1 species
UACAGAGGGUGCAAGCGUUGUUCGGAAUUAUUGGGCGUAAAGCGCGUGUAGGCGGCUUUGCAAGUCGGGUGUGAAAGCCCUCAGCUCAACUGAGGAAGUGCGCCCGAAACUGCAGAGCUUGAGUACCGGAGAGGGUGGCGGAAUUCCCCAAGUAGAGGUGAAAUUCGUAGAUAUGGGGAGGAACACCGGGUGGCGAAGGCGGCCACCUGGACGGAUACUGACGCUGAGACGCGAAAGCGUGGGUAGCAAACAGG